rnacentral:rRNA from 1 species
UACAGAGGUCCCAAGCGUUGUUCGGAUUCACUGGGCGUAAAGGGUGCGUAGGUGGUGAGGUAAGUCGGAUGUGAAAUCUCCGGGCUCAACCCGGAAAUGGCAUUGGAAACUACCUUGCUAGAGGAUUUGAGGGGGGAUUGGAAUACUUGGUGUAGCAGUGAAAUGCGUAGAUAUCAAGUGGAACACCAGUGGCGAAGGCGAAUCCCUGGAAAAUACCUGACACUGAGGCACGAAAGCUAGGGGAGCAAACGGG